UUUGUUGUGGUUGCACUAGCCACAUUUCAAGUGUCCAAUUAUUUUGAGACUAUUAAGAUGUAGAAAAUUUUUAUUAUUACAAAAAAUUCUGUUGGAGAGUGGGGAUCUAAUAUUUAGAGUGAAAUAACCACACAUUAACCACAAUAUGUUGUUUUAAAAUUACGUUGGACUGGGCUUUGGAAAAUAAAAAUUUCAAUCUCAAUGUAAUUUAUUAGAGUACAUCAUGUUUUAUUCAAUUUCUCCCAGUAUAUCCUCACUUCAUUUACAAAAAUGAAAACUGAUUGUUAGAUGAUCUUUAGUGACACUUUGAGCUAUAAUACAUAUUCUAGAGAACAAGUGAGUUUUCUAGAAAAAAAUAAUAUAAUUAAAAUAAACAUUAAUUUUAAGUGAAAUACAUAUGUAUGUUGCUUGGAUAUGUUUGAAUGUUUGAAUACAUUUUCUGUAUUUAGAAACACUUUUAUCUCUUAUGAAGUGCAAGACAGUGAGAAAAAUAAACAAUAGUUCUCAAACUCCACAUAUAUGAAAAUCACCUGAAUGGCUUGUUAACAUACACAUUGCAGGGCCUCACCCCAGAGUUUUUGAUACUGGACUAUUGAGCUAGAUCCCCGAAUAUGCUUUUCUAAGAGAUUCUCACAAUAACACUUUGAGAACCACUGGUAUAAAAAUAAGUUAGGCUCUUGCAAAAGAAAGACACAAACAUAAAACCAAAAUCAUUAAUUUAAAAAAUCUAAAUAACACUGAUCAUAUAAUGUAAAAGUUAUAGUUAUAUUUAUACUUAUGCAUAUAAAGGACAUAAUGCUAAGUCAUGAAGGAAGUAUAAAAUAUACAAUAGGAAUUCAGACAAUGGAAGAUCAUUUCUAAGUAAAGAAAUAAGGAAAAUCAUAUUUCAUGGUGUAGGCAUUGUUUGAUCAAGAAUUUGAUAGAGUAACAAUGUUUCACCUAAUAAGGAUGGAGGUAAUGGCAGUAUUCAAAAACAAAAGUGACCAAAAUUUGGGAAUAUGAGUACAGGGUAUACAAAAAGGAUUUUCUAGAAAUUUGAAGACAGAUGCUUGAGGCAAUAACUGAAAAAAUAAGAAUAGCUUUUUCCCCAGUCUUCCAAGACCAGGCAAAAUUUUCACACAAAGAUAAAGGGUAUUGAAGCAAAAAUUGCUUCAAACUUAAAUGGGCAAAUUAGACUUUAUUCAGGCUACAGCAGUAGAGAAGACAGAUUGGACUUAAUACUGUUGAAAUGAAGUUUUGGGGGAGUGGGAGGUAAAGCACUAGGGUGAACUUGUGGGAAAGUACUAGAGAAUUUAGAGAGGUUAAUCAAUGGGAUAGGUGAAGUACACUGAGUUAUUGCUCAUUUUGAAAAUGGUUUUCUCUGCAAUUUGGCCAUCUGUGUUUACUAAGUGGUGUCCACCGGGACUGGGAGAUAAGGAUGCUGAUAUGGUUUGGCUGUGUCCCUAUCCAAAUCUUAUCUUGAAAUGUAGCUCCCACAAUUCCAAUGUGUUGUGGAAGGGACCCGGUGGGAAGUAAUUGAAUCAUGGAGGCAGGUCUUUCCCAUGCUGUUCUCAUGAUAGUGAAUAAGUCUCAUGAGAUCUGAUGGUUUUAUAAAGGGGAGUUUCCCUGAGCAAGCUCUCAUCUCAUCUGCUGCCAUGUGAGACAUACAUUUCAACUUGACUAAGGCAUCCCCAGCCACAUGAAACAGUGAGUCCAUUAAACCUCUUUCUUUUGUAAAUUUCUCAGUCUUUAUCAGCAACUUGAAAAAAGACUAAUACAGAUGUUUUUCCUUAGAUGUUCACAUUUCAAAGAAAUGGUUUCCAUGUACUUGAAAAAAGCAUUUUUUGGAUUAUCAAAGUAGCAAGAGGCUGAAAGAAAACUUACAUGCAUUUGAAAAAGGCAGAUAAAGAAUUUACUCUUGCAAGUUUACUAAAGUAAAUCUUCUAAUGAAAAGAUGGAUGGACUCCAUAGUUAGGAAAAGGUCAGUAUAAAGAGCAGGCCAGCUAAGGGAAACAUUGAGGCCAUCUUGGUCAGUGAAAAACCAACAUUUUGUAAUCAUCUAAAUCUUCUCAAGAGUAUGGGCUGGAGAAGACUGGAUUGAAAUUGUCUUUAAUUUCAAUCCAAUUUCAAAGUCUUAGUAGUUUCUUUGUAAAAAGUCACACAAAGAGACAUCAUAUGAAAUCAAACAGAAAUGAAUAAACUGUACUAAAAUGUGAGGCAAAGAGUCACUGGGCAUCAUCUUAUCUAAUUUUUCAUUCUUCAAAUGGUAAAACUAAGUUUUUAAGGUUAAGUUUUUUACUCAAAGUCACAAUUAUAGUAAUAGCCAAGUAAGAAUCAGAAUAUAAGUCAUUUACAGUUACCAAGAAGAGGCAAAGGAGCCAACAAAGGUGAGUUUGUAUUUGCAGUUACCCAAUCAUUAUUUUUACAUGACAGAGGAAAAAGUGAGAGAGAAAAUGAAGAAAACAAGUAAUCCCUUGCAUCCAGUGAUUCAAAUAAGAGUAGAGAAAAAGUGAGAGAGAAUUAGAUCUCAGUAAACAUAUUUCAGAGCAUUUCAGUACAAAAUUCAUAGCACAGUCCACUCUUUAUCAUCAACUCACAUACUGAGUCAAAGGCUUACAUUUUAUUGUUUUCACUUGACCCUCAGAGCAAAACAUAGCAGGAUCUCCCAAUUCUUCUCCUGGAUAUCAAAUUCUGAGGCUAUUAAUUUUCUGAUUAGAUAUUUUGUUUUUAAUUGGCAGAACACAAUAUUCUUAGUGUUACUCCUCUGGGUUUUCUUUCAAAUCUACAUGGAAAUCAUAAGUCAUAAAACUGCGUUUUAACCAGUGGUGUUAAUUGAUAAGUACUGUGAAUAAUCAAGUAUUAGACUAUAGGAAUCAGUAGCAAAGACUAAAAAAUAACUGAGAAAGACUGCUCUUUAACAUGCUCCAGAUGAUUCCUCCUGCCUAUCAGGGUUCUUUCUUGUUUGGACUGAAAGUUGGGCAGUUUGUUUUAAUCCACGUCCCUAAAAGUAAGACACAAAAAAGGCUGGCAAAACAUCAUCUGAUCAAAGGCAAUGUUGGGCUUAGUGUCAACAGCACACUGAUGGACUAGAGCUUCCAAUCGUUUCUCUGCUUACUGAAAAACAAAAAUGAAACUGAUUGAUCUUUUCUUAGUCUUUAAAGCCUUAUGAAGGCUUUUAAUAAUAGGACAUGUCCAAAAGAGAUGUCUUGCACAGCAGGUGAGUGCCUUAAACACUGGGAUACAGGCUUUUAUGACAACAAAAUUCUUUAUUUUUAUUUUAGUUUAAGAUACAAGGAUUUUCACCUUUGAAUACAAUAUAGUAUGUGUGUUUGUGUGUGUAGUACUAGCUAAAGAUGAUUUAAAGAAUGUUAUCAUAUCAACUGGGACACUUUAAUCUGUAGCACUGAGACUUUUUAAUCUGGAGCACAAAUUAACAUGCUUCAGCUUAUCUAUCAUAAUACAUAAUGCCUGAAAAAAAAUUGACAAUGAAACAUAGGUUUUAAAUUUAGGAAAUUCAGGAAAAUCUCUUUGCUGAGCAAAAACAAUUACUUAAAAACUCAGCAUAUCUCAAGCUUCUUAAUACAACCUAAUAAUUAUUAAUAAUAUUCUGAAAUACAUGCCAGUAAAAGAUUUUAACUUUUGGAAAUGUUUGAAAUAUUACAUGUUUCUCCCAGACACAUAGUUUGUAUGAAUUAGCCUUCCUCAGUCUCCCAACACCACUGCCUCUUCUAAGAGUGGUAUGUCUAUCUGUACAUCUAUCUGUGCAAAAAUACAUAUAUACAUACACAUGUACAUACAGAUGGAGAGUGAGAACAUGUUGUGAGAGAGAAUUGUCUGAAAAAUAUUACAUUUAUUGUUCUCUAUUUGAGAAUGGAAUAUGAAGGUAUCAAAAGAUUUGCCUCAUUAGUAAUGAUCAUAUACAUGGUUAACUCAAUAUAAAAUAUGAACUGUUUUCUAUCAAUUCUUAGUUUAAUUGAAGAGUUUCAAAUAAAAUCUCUUUUGUUAUACCUAUAUCUACUUGCAAAGUUCCCAUAGAAAUCAAAAGCAGAUUAUAAUACUUCAGGAGCUGGUUAAAUUUCUAUUAUUCAGGCUCAUUAUAAACAUUGUCAUCAGCAUGAAGAUAGGCUGUUUCCUUUUCUCUUUUUGUUACAUUUUCUAGGCUUCAAAAAAAUGUCAUUUCCAUGAAAAUUACCCUACUGCAACAUUCAUUAAACCCUUUUUACUCGGAACCUAGCUGUUUCUCAAUCCUCUCAGUUAUCUGUGAGAAAUCUUGGAAGGGUCAAAACGGCAGAACAAUGUUAUUCUGUUUUAAUAUAAAAUAUGAAAAGGCAAGAUAUUGUUCAAAGUUGUAUUUUUGUGUUGAGAAUGUUACAGAGGCACACUACUGAAAUAGAAUAUAUUUGAAUGUGUUAAAUAGAAUAAUUAAUGUGACCAUUGGUACAAAUUAAUUUGUAUUACAAAUUCCAUACAACAAUUUUAUUGAUCUCCUCUGCAGCUGUACUUCCAACAUAGAACCUAUUUAUAUCUCAUCAGCGAACACUCUAGCAAGUAAUCAUUGUCACAUUCGUUGUAAUCUCUGCCUUUCUAAUGCCAGAAAAAAAUUGUGUGGAUUACACACAAUUACAACAAUGAAAAUAAAACCAUAACACUUUACACAGAAAAUACUCAAGUAAUAUUUUACCACUAUAUAAUUUUCUUAUCUAGAUCAACUUUUCCCAGUCAUUUUUUACCUGUAAACACUUUUUACAAAAAUGUAUAAUUUCAUAAGUUGCCUGGGUAUAUUUAAUCAUUUUUAUAUUAAUAAAACAAAGAAAACCUUUAAAAACAUAAAAAGAACAUUAGCAGCAUAUUAUUACAUAUGUUGUUAUAAAAUUUAUUUGAAUAUUAUACUUGGCUAUAUUCAUUACACAUGAAGUCCCCGUUUGUUUUAACCCAUUUGCAAGUGAUAUACACUGUGAUUAACUUUCUUUAAUUACAUGAGAAAAUAUAUAAUUUGUACAUAAGUGGAUAUAACAUAUUCCAUUCAGGACUACCAUUUAUAUAAUGAAAUUGCGCCAUCAUAAAUUAACUGUAUUUAGGACCUAAUAUGUAUAAUACUUGAAUGCUGUAUUUUUAACAAAUCCUCUGUGCCAUUUUAUAAGUUCUCCAAUUUUUGUUUAAAAGUUGAGACAACUGAAAAUUACUCAGGUGGUCAUUUGUUAGCAUUUCCCUACAAAUGGCUAGCACAUAGUACGUGAAUAUAGCCUUACUUCCAAAGUGACAAAAUGAUAAACUGAGAAACUAAUCAGUGUAUUUUAUCUCUUUAAUAUAUGUUAAUAUUUUGCUGAAAAAUUACUUUUACAUAUUAAAAUUGCAUUUAGUAAGUAAUUUUAAAAGUCUUAUCAAAUAAUUGUAAGUCUUAGAACAGAUAAAAAUCACCUCAGGAAAAUUUGAAGAAAUAUCAACUUUUUAUGCUAAUUUUUCAUUUACAUGUUAAUAUCAGUGUUCUUUUUGCUUUCUUUGUUAACCAAAGGUGCAUUUAUAAAAAAUAAAAUGCUCCUGCUGAGUCAUAAACUUAGUUACUAUCUCAUGAGGAUGUUUAGUUUCUUUUCAACUAACUGCUCAUUUGUUUCUAUUUUUAAUUUAUUUUUAAUAGACAAAAAUUAUAUAUAUUUCUACAACAGGCUGUUUUGAAAUAUAUACAUAGUGAAAUGGCUAAAUUGAGGUAAUUAAUAGUGUAUUACCGCACAUACUUACCAUUUAUUUAUGAUGAAAACACUUAAAAUCUACUCUUAGUAAUUUUGAAAAGUACAAUACAUUGUCAUUAACUAUAGUCACUAUAUUUUACAAUAGAACUUAUUCUUCUCAUCUAACUGAAAUUUUUUAUCCAUUGACUAACAUCUCCUCAUCACCCUCCCCCUGUUCUCCCUCUUAUUUGUUUCUUGACACAUGCUAAGAUGCCCUUAAAGUUCCAUUUUAAGAAGAAUGUAUUUCAAUAAUUAUUCUAUCAAUCAAUUAAAAAUAGCAUUUCCUUUUUUGUCUAUAUCCAUUCCUUGAUAUGACUUUAUAAAACCACUUCAAAAACUCAUGAGGGAUAUCAAAAUAAAGACAAAUGUCAGAGCAUCUUCCUAUAGGAUAGCAGACAUGUGGACAAUAGAACCACAUAUUGGAGAGAGGUUUUAAGAUGCUAACUAGAGACAUCAGACACUCUUCCUCCCCAGAAAGAAGUAAAACUGUUAAUAGAUAAUCACACACUGAAUAGAAUUGAACAGAAUUUAUCUAGGAAAGAACACUAGAGUUUAAGAGAGAAGUCACAGGAAACACCUGAGGCACAGAAGGAGAGGAAGCUAGCAGCUAGCUCAGCCAGGACCAGCUGGGAUCCUGGAACGGCUCCCUAUUAUAGGGAAAGGGUCAGUGUGAGCCGUUAGGGGUACACAGUCUUACCUUAGACUACUGCAAUCCUAACCACAGGAGACCUCUUCCAUCUAUACAGCUCUGAGAUUAGCAUAGGUGGGGACUCUACAGCGUGGUGAUCUAGAGGCCUGCCAGGGCAUUGCUGCAAGCGGGAAACUUGCACCACAUCACAUAGCAAGACAUAAGCAGCUGCAGUAGGGCACUAUGGCCAGAGUCCAGCUUCCACCAGACUGCAUCCUCUUCUGAGAACCAACAAUUCCACAUCUUCACACCCUGUGAACCCCCAGUAGAAUUCCCUGGCAUCCACCUGGAGGGCUUCAGUGGCACAAUGGUGGCUGGACCCGAUGGUGUUGUGGGGUCCCCAGCACUCUAACCCACAGGGAGUACAACUCCUCAAGGAAAUGAUAGCGCAGUACAUCAAGGAGGCUUCUCCUGAGACAAAGGGAACCAGUGCAUGUGCUUGGCAGAACCCAAGAGCUCCCUGCCUGGUAUAAUGAUACCAAUGGUACCUGGUACCAUUAGGGCAGGGAACCACCCUGCCCUAACUAGCAGCAUGGCCUUUGUGCUCUAGCUUAUGCACAGAGGUCAAGAUCCCUUCCCCAACUCUCCACACUGCUGCAGCCACUGCUGCCUCUGAAAGCCAAAGCAAGCAAACCUUAAAUCUGAGAGUCUGGGUAUGUAAACAGUAACCACAUCCCUAUUAGCAGUAUGUUCUCAGUACUUGGGCUCAUGUGAAAAUGGAUCCCUUCCCCUUUCUGCAUAUCACAAUAGUGCUGCUGCCACGGGGAGCCAAAGUGAGUGAGCCUGACAGCUGCCUGUCUGAGGAUGCAAAUAGUAACCCCAUUCCCACCAACAACACAGCCUCUGUGCUUGAGUUCACACCCAGAAAGGCAGGAUCCAUCUGACCCCUUUGAACAUGAUAGCAGUCACUGACUGCAGCCAGGAGACAAAGCAAACACUACCCAGAAACUGAGAAGUGCCUGUUUGGGGCUCUGAAUAGCAACCCUGCCCCCUUCAAAAGCAUGGCCUCUGUGCUCUAGUGCAUGUCAUGAGUGCAGGCUCUUCACACACACCACUGUGGACACUGCUACUGCCAGAGUUGAAAGUGUACACCCCUCAGAACCUGAGAGCUCCCUGCAGGGGACCACUGAUAGCAACCCCACCCAUACUCAACAGCAGGAUCACCACACUCUAGCACCAGCCCAGAGGUCAGGCUCUCCACAACCAACACCACAGACUGCCUGCCCUGCCUACUACCUCCUGGAGCUCUGCACACCCUGAUGCCCUGAGAUCAGGCCCACCAGACCUGUCACCAUUGCUUCCCCCACCCAAAGCAUGAGCACCCCUCCCAGGGACCUGGGGAUUACCCAACCCCUUCUACCACCUCUAGCAUCUGUACCCUACUUCUGGAAUCCUGAAGGUGAGCCCAUAUAGCCUGUCAUCAAUACCAUCAACUACAUCCAUGCACAUGCACAACCAAGGAACCUGGGGACCAGCUUGCUCAGCCCAUCAUACCAACAGCUAACAUUAGUGAGUGCCACAUGAGAGCCCCAAAAUUAUCCUGCCAUCACUACUACCAUAAUCCAGGCCAUACAUUCGGCUUAAGGGCCUAAGGACUCACCCACGGAUCUGGCUUACCACUCCCACUGCCAGCAUACAGGAAGACUGCCUGGAGUCUCAAGAAUUUGCCCACCUGCACUCACUAAAACUGUGCUUGCAUAUGCCACCUGGUGGCCCAAGGUCCAGAAUGCUUGGCUUACCACUACCUGCCAUGAGUGGGCCCUGAGGGCAGAACUACCUGGUAUCUCCUGUUCCCAGCACAUUUUUUUCAUGCGUGUCCCUGUGAAGAGACCACCAAACAGGCUUUGUGUGAGCAAUAAAGCUUUUAAUCACCUGGAUACGGUUUUGGAUGAAUUGAGAAACUAAAUGGAAUAACAGAAGGAGAAAAACAGGAGGCCUGAAUAAUCCCUGAGGAGUAGUAGAA
rnacentral:tRNA from 10 species